GUUAAUUUCAAGGGGACUCAACCGCUUGGCUAUUAGUUUCUCUUUGUCAGUGAGGGGGUUCAAAUACAAAAAAAUUUACUUGAACCCAUGUGGGAUCGCCCCUGGGUAGCUACUAUGACAAUAUCAGCUCCUGCUAUUUUAAUGGCAUGCCUGAUCUCCUAGCAAUUAUCAAUGUCUUCCUUGUACUGUAUUGCACUUAAAUCACCAUUGUUUCAGACAAAGGUAGUCCCUCAUGUUUGCCUUGGAGUUCUGUUGAUCAUGGGGAGAGAGAGAAAUUAGGCACAAGCCUUUUUUUCCGUGUCCGGAUGUCCUCAACAAGCAUCAAAGGCGCGGUGCUAUAAAAUGUCAUUUAGGCU
rnacentral:misc_RNA from 1 species